rnacentral:rRNA from 1 species
CAGGGGAUGCAAGCGUUACUCGGAAUUACUGGGCGUAAAGCGUCUGCAGGCUUCUUUCCACGUCUGGUGUAAAAGCACGGGGCUCAACCCCGUGUACGUGCCGGAAACGAGAGAGAUCGAGUCAUUCAGAGGCAUCUGGAAUGCUGUGUGUAGGGGUAAAAUCCGUAGAUCCACAGUGGAACGCCAAAAGUGAAAACAGGAUGCUGGGAAUGUACUGACGCUCAGAGACGAAAGCGUGGGGAGCAAAGGGGAUUAGAUACCCCCGUAGUCCACGCCCUAAACGAUGUGGGCUCGGUGUUGGGAUUUUCAAUUGAUCUCAGUGCCUAAGCUAACGCGGUAAGCCCACCGCCUGGGAAGUACGGCCGCAAGGCUA